rnacentral:lncRNA from 1 species
ACUAAAAUAGUCAAUUGACCGCCUAAGGAUAGAUUGCCCUUCAUAGUCAAUUUUUAACAAUUUUCUUAAAAUUUGAAGAUUUUCAAUAACAUUUUCCACAGAAAGUACUGUUAUAGAGAGAGAUAAUUGUAAGCAGCAAGAAUGUUUAGUAAAGUAAGAUCUACAAACACAUCACCAUCACCAAAACACAAUUUUGUCAUGAAUCCAUCUGUGUCCAUUGUUUAAUAUUCACAUAGACCAAGGUGAGCGACACAGGCUCUUUAGAGCCUCUAGUUUAAAUUUAUUUU